GACGAACGCUGGCGGCGUGCCUAAUACAUGCCAGUAGAACGCACAGUUUAUACCGUAGCUUGCUACACCAUAAACUGUGAGUUGCGAACGGGUGAGUAACGCGUAGGUAACCUGCCUGGUAGCGGGGGAUAACUAUUGGAAACGAUAGCUAAUACCGCAUAAUAUUAAUUAUUGCAUGAUAAUUGAUUGAAAGAUGCAAUUGCAUCACUACCAGAUGGACCUGCGUUGUAUUAGCUAGUAGGUGAGGUAACGGCUCACCUAGGCGACGAUACAUAGCCGACCUGAGAGGGUGAUCGGCCACACUGGGACUGAGAAACGGCCCAGACUCCUACGGGAGGCAGCAGUAGGGAAUCUUCGGAAAUGGACGAAAGUCUGACCGAGCAACGCCGCGUGAGUGAAGAAGGUUUUCGGAUCGUAAAGCUCUGUUGUAAGAGAAGAACGGGUGUGAGAGUGGAAAGUUCACACUGUGACGGUAUAUUACCAGAAAGGGACGGCUAACUACGUG
rnacentral:rRNA from 1 species